rnacentral:rRNA from 1 species
UACAGAGGUCCCAAGCGUUGUUCGGAUUCAUUGGGCGUAAAGGGUGCGUAGGCGGCGCGGUAAGUCGGAUGUGAAAUCUCGGAGCUUAACUUCGAAACUGCAUUCGAUACUGCCGUGCUUGAGGACUGGAGAGGAGACUGGAAUUUACGGUGUAGCGGUGAAAUGCGUAGAUAUCGUAAGGAAGACCAGUGGCGAAGGCGGGUCUCUGGACAGUUACUGACGCUGAGGCACGAAGGCCAGGGGAGCAAACGGG